GAUGAACGCUGGCGGCGUGCCUAACACAUGCAAGUCGAGCGAACAGACGCGGAGCUUGCUCCUCUGACGUUAGCGGCGGACGGGUGAGUAACACGUGGAUAACCCACUUAUAAGACGGGGAUAACUUCGGGACACCGGAGCUAAUCCCGGAUAUAUAUUGAACCGCUUGGUUCAAUAGUGAAAGACGGUUUUGCUGUCACUUAUAGAUGGAUCCGCGCCGCAUUAGCUAGUUGGUAAGGUAACGGCUUACCAAGGCAACGAUGCGUAGCCGACCUGAGAGGGUGAUCGGCGACACUGGAACUGAGACACGGUCCAGACUCCUACGAGAGGCAGCAGAAGGGAAUCUUCCGCAGUGGGCGAAAGCCUGACGGAGCGACGCCGCGUGAGUGAUGAAGGUCUUCGGUGCGUGAUGCUCUGUUAUUGGGGAAGAACAAAUGUGUAAGUAACUGUGCACGUCGUGACGGUACCUGAUCAGAAAGCCACGGCUAACUACGUG
rnacentral:rRNA from 1 species